GUGUCAUUGAGUGCACAUAUACUGAAAUUGUAUCAAUACAAAAAAGAUUAGCAUGGCCCCUGCAAAAGGAUGACACGUGAAAUUUGUGAAGCAUUCCACAGAUUC